GUGAACGCUGGCGGUAGGCCUAACAUAUGCAAGUCGAACGGCAGCACAGUAAGAGCUUGCUCUUACGGGUGGCGAGUGGCGGACGGGUGAGGAAUACAUCGGAAUCUACUUUUUCGUGGGGGAUAACGUAGGGAAACUUACGCUAAUACCGCAUACGACCUACGGGUGAAAGCAGGGGAUCUUCGGACCUUGCGCGAUUGAAUGAGCCGAUGUCGGAUUAGCUAGUUGGCGGGGUAAAGGCCCACCAAGGCGACGAUCCGUAGCUGGUCUGAGAGGAUGAUCAGCCACACUGGAACUGAGACACGGUCCAGACUCCUACGGGAGGCAGCAGUGGGGAAUAUUGGACAAAGGGCGCAAGCCUGAUCCAGCCAUACCGCGUGGGUGAAGAAGGCCUUCGGGUUGUAAAGCCCUUUUGUUGGGAAAGAAAAGCAGCAGGUUAAUACCCCGCUGUUCUGACGGUACCCAAAGAAUAAGCACCGGCUAACUUCGUG
rnacentral:rRNA from 1 species